rnacentral:rRNA from 1 species
AGCAGCCGCGGUAAUUCCAGCUCCAAUAGCGUAUAUUAAAGUUGUUGCAGUUAAAAAGCUCGUAGUUGAAUUUCGAGAUCAAAUUGUUGGUCGUGCCUCGGUACGUACUGGCAUUAUUGAUUUCUCCUUUCUGAAGAACCAUGAUGUCAUUAAUUUGGUGUCUUGGGGAAUCAGGACCGUUACUUUGAAAAAAAUUAGAGUGUUUAAAGCAGGCUCACGCUUGAAUACAUUAGCAUGGAAUAAUGAAAUAGGACGUUUGAUUCUAUUUUGUUGGUUUCUAGGAUCGACGUAAUGAUUAAUAGGGAUAGUUGGGGGCAUUAGUAUUCAAUUGUUAGAGGUGAAAUUCUUGGAUUUAUUGAAGACUAACUACUGCGAAAGCAUUUGCCAAGGAUGUUUUCAUUA